GACGGAGGAUGCAAGCGUUGUUCGGAAUUACUGGGCGUAAAGGGCGCGUAGGCGGUCUGUUAAGUUCGGUGUGAAAGCCCCCGGCUCACCUGGGGAACUGCGCCGGAAACCGACAGACUCGAGUACCGGAGAGGAGGGUGGAAUUCCUGGUGUAGCGGUGAAAUGCGUAGAUAUCGGGAGGAACACCAGUGGCGAAGGCGACUUCCUGGCCUGUUCUUGACGCUGAGGCGCGAAAGCUAGGGGAGCAAACGGG
rnacentral:rRNA from 1 species